UGCCUGGAGACCGCGCAGCCUGUGCUGUGUUGGCGCGUUGGUCUGCGGGUCGCGGCCGGCGGGACUCCGGAGCCAUGGCGCCCGAAAAGAAAGGGAAGAAAGGGAAAGCCAAAGGUACCCCGAUCGUUGACGGUCUCGCUCCGGAGGACAUGAGCAAGGAACAGGUGGAGGAGCACAUUGGCCGCGUCCGGGAGGAGCUGAGUCGUGAGCGGGAGGAGCGCAGCUACUUCCAGCUGGAGCGGGACAGAAUCCACACUUUCUGGGAGAUCACGCGGAGGCAGCUGGAGGAGAAGAAGGCUGAACUGAGGAACAAAGACCGGGAGAUGGAGGAGGCUGAGGAGAGGCACCAGGUGGAGAUCAAGGUCUAUAAGCAGAAAGUGAAGCACUUGCUGUACGAGCAUCAGAACAGCUUGAUGGAGAUGAAGGCGGAGGGCACGGUGGUCAUGAAGCUGGCGCAGAAGGAGCAGCGCGUGCAGGAGGGGACGCUGUGCAGGGACGUGCGGGCGCUGAAGGUGGGGCUGAAGGAGCAGGAGCUGGCCAGCGAGGUGGCGGUGAAGAGCCUAAGGCUGAAACACGCCGAGGAGAUCACCAAGAUACGCAAGGACUUUGAGCGGCAGGUGCGAGAAAUCGAGGCCAAGUAUGACAAGAAGGUCAGGAUGCUUAGGGAUGAGCUUGACCUGCGCCGGAAGACAGAGAUCCACGAGGUGGAGGAGAGGAAGAACGGCCAGAUCAGCAUGCUUAUGCAGCGCCACGAGGAGGCCUUCACGGACAUCAGGAACUAUUACAACGAAAUCACCCUCAACAACCUGGCUCUCAUCAACUCCCUCAAGGAGCGGAUAGAGCGCAUGCGGAAGAGGGAGGAGCUCCUGGAGAAGGAGGUGACGGAGGCGUCCACGCAGAACAGGCGCCUGGCAGACCCCCUGCAGGAGGCUCGGGACGAGAUGAGUGAGAUGCAGAAGCAGCUUGGGGGCUACGAGAGGGACAAGCAGAUCCUGCUGUGCACGAAAGCCCGUCUGAAAGUCACCGAGAAGGAGCUGAAGAGCCUGCGGUGGGAGCACGAGGUGCUGGAGCAGCGCUUCACCAAGGUGCAGCAGGAGCGGGACGAGCUGUACCGGAAGUUCACCGCAGCCGUCCUGGAGGUGCAGCAGAAGGUGGGCUUCCAGAACCUCGUCUUGGAGCGCAAGGUACAGGCACUGGCCGCCGUGGUGGAGAAGAAGGAGGUGCAGUUCAACGAGGUGCUGGCAGCCUCCAGCCUGGACCCUGCGGCCCUGACCCUCGUGUCCCGCAAGCUGGAGGACGUUCUGGAAUCGAAGAACAGCACCAUCAAGGACUUGCAGUACGAGCUGGCCCGGGUCUGCAAGGCCCACAAUGACUUGCUGCGUACCUAUGAGGCGAAGCUCCUGGCCUUUGGGGUCCCCCUGGACAACGUGGGCUUCAAGCCCCUGGAGACGGCCGUGAUCGGGCAGACGCUGGGCCAGGGCCCCGCAGGACUCGUGGGCACCCCAGCGUAGCCCCUUCCCGGGGCCACUGCCCGGGUGACACUCCCCUCACGCACCGAGGACAGCAGGCGAGUGUGAUGCUGGAGUUGCAACAUUCUACCUCCGCCCCCUCCCCGGCACCAGGAGGACAGACACGGGCCCUAAGGAAGACACACGCUGAGGAGGAAAGAAGCUGCAUCCC